rnacentral:lncRNA from 10 species
UUGCCUUCUUUACCCAUCUACUUCCUCCCCUUACCCUACUCCUGUAAAUCCAAUUUCCUCUGAAUUCAGGACAUUUGAGACCCAAACUCAGGCAUAUAAGACAGCCCAAGGAGCAAAUGUAUUCCAUCUCUACAGCACUGUAUAAUUUAAAAGAAAAAAACUAAAAACCACAGGCCACUACUCAGCAGCUGUGUGGCCACAAGCAAAUUACUAAACCUCUCUGAGCGUUGGUUCCCACCUCAGUAAGAUGAGGCUAAUAACCCCUCCAUCACAGAGGGGAUGGGAAAACUCAAUGAUGUAACAUAUUUGCAGAGCCUAACACAGACUCUCACAUAUGGAAGGCACUCAGUAAACAUCUACCUCCUCCCUUGCUAUCUUCACACAGUCCCAUACUCCCAACUCUUCUUGCCUCUCUGCUCACCCCAGCUAACUGUUCUGGGUGCUGGGCCCACUGGCACCAUGCUGAUGUUUUAGAUCCCAGGACAGCACGAAGCCAACCAUUACACAUACCCAAACUAAAAAGCAAGUAACCAUGACCUUGAACAGAA